UACAGAGGGUGCAAGCGUUAAUCGGAAUUACUGGGCGUAAAGCGCGCGUAGGUGGUUCGUUAAGUUGGAUGUGAAAUCCCCGGGCUCAACCUGGGAACUGCAUUCAAAACUGUCGAGCUAGAGUAUGGUAGAGGGCGGUGGAAUUUCCUGUGUAGCGGUGAAAUGCGUAGAUAUAGGAAGGAACACCAGUGGCGAAGGCGACCACCUGGACUGAUACUGACACUGAGGUGCGAAAGCGUGGGGAGCAAACGGG
rnacentral:rRNA from 1 species